rnacentral:piRNA from 2 species
UGGUGAAGCCAGCAAUAGAAACUUGAA